UGUUUUAGUACUUACUAGUUUACAACUCUUCUAAACUCAUUUUAUCUAAUCUCAUCUAAUCAUUACAUCUUUUUCAAAUUUUCACACAAAAUAAAUAAACAAUUCAACUUUUUCAAAUUUUAAAAUAAAAAUAAUAUUAAAAAAUAUAUUCUAAGAAUAUUUUAUUCAACUUUAAAUUUUCAUCUCAACUCAUCUCAUCUGUGAAAACAAACGAGUUGAAACUUGAGCAAAUAAGAAAUCCUGUUGGAGCCAAAACUUUUCCUUUCAUAUGUUUUCCAUUUACCUUUUUCUAAAUAACUGUGUUGUAGUAUAAAAGUAUUAUUUUUUUGGAUAAGGAGAAAAUCUUGAAACCAUAUUUUGCCUUUAAAAACAAAAUCUUUGAACCAUGUUUAAUCAACUUAAUAUUUACCCAUCACAGACCUUUUCUUUCUGGAACCAUGUAGCUAAUACUUACUUUUGGAAUGUAGGGAGCUGUUAACUUUGCGCUAAUGAUGUCUCAAAUGGAGGGAGGUUGUCGAGUUAUAUCAUAACAGAUUUCUUUCUUCAGAAGAACCUGAUCAGUGAGGCAACGGCUUUUCUAUUAGAUGUUUUGAAGCCAAAUCUUCCUGAACAUAGUUUCCUUCAAACAAAGGUUUUGAUUCACGCUUUCUUUGUUAAUGCUAUCUAACUUCUAUUUGGAUAGUUGCUGCUCUUUUCAGUCAUUGUAACAUUUUUAUUUUAUAUAGGUCCUGGAAAUCAAUCUGUUAACUUUUUCAAAUGUAGCUGACGCUAUUGAACAAUUGGGUGUGCUUGAGAUAAGUGAAUAUAUAUUUGAUUGAAUAUAAUUAUUGGUGGACAGGUUUGGGUCUGCUUUUGCAAA